UACCUGCGGAGGGAUCAUUACUGAGUUUACGCUCUACAACCCUUUGUGAACAUACCUAUAACUGUUGCUUCGGCGGGUAGGGUCUCCGUGACCCUCCCGGCCUCCCGCCCCCGGGCGGGUCGGCGCCCGCCGGAGGAUAACCAAACUCUGAUUUAACGACGUUUCUUCUGAGUGGUACAAGCAAAUAAUCAAAACUUUUAACAACGGAUCUCUUGGUUCUGGCAUCGAUGAAGAACGCAGCGAAAUGCGAUAAGUAAUGUGAAUUGCAGAAUUCAGUGAAUCAUCGAAUCUUUGAACGCACAUUGCGCCCGCCAGCAUUCUGGCGGGCAUGCCUGUUCGAGCGUCAUUUCAACCCUCAAGCUCUGCUUGGUGUUGGGGCCCUACAGCUGAUGUAGGCCCUCAAAGGUAGUGGCGGACCCUCCCGGAGCCUCCUUUGCGUAGUAACUUUACGUCUCGCACUGGGAUCCGGAGGGACUCUUGCCGUAAAACCCCCCAAUUUUCCAAAGGUUGACCUCGGAUCAGGUAGGAAUACCCGCUGAACUUAAG
rnacentral:rRNA from 1 species